CCUACGGGUGGCUGCAGUCGAGGAUCUUCGGCAAUGGGCGCAAGCCUGACCGAGCGACGCCGCGUGAGCGAUGAAGGCCUUCGGGUCGUAAAGCUCUGUCGUGGGGGAGAUCGACCCCAGGAGGAAGCACGGGCUAAGUUCGUGCCAGCAGCCGCGGUAAGACGAACCGUGCGAACGUUAUUCGGAAUCACUGGGCUUAAAGGGUGCGUAGGCGGGCUCGUUAGUCAGGGGUGAAAUCCCACGGCCCAACCGUGGAAGUGCCUCUGAUACUGCGGGCCUCGAGGGGGAUAGGGGCGUGCGGAACUCAGGGUGGAGCGGUGAAAUGCGUAGAUAUCCUGAGGAACACCGGUGGCGAAAGCGGCGCGCUGGUCCUUCUGACGCUGAGGCACGAAAGCCAGGGGAGCAAACGGGAUUAGAUACCCGUGUAGUC
rnacentral:rRNA from 1 species